GACCGGAAGGAACGAACCUCCCGUGUAUCAGUUGUCACGUCAGUGGCAGUGCUGAGUAGCGGCGUUCGGACGGGAUAAGUGCUGAAAGCAUAUAAGCACGAAGCCUCCCUCAAGAUUAGAUCUCGUAGCUCCCUAGAAGAUUACUAGGUUGAUAGGCUCUAGAUGUAAGCGCCGUAAGGCGUUGAGUCGAGGAGUACUAAUCGAGCAUGUUCACGAAAGC
rnacentral:rRNA from 1 species